rnacentral:rRNA from 1 species
AGUCUGAUGGAGCAACGCCGCGUGAGUGAAGAAGGGUUUCGGCUCGUAAAGCUCUGUUGGUAGUGAAGAAAGAUAGAGGCAGUAACUGGCCUUUAUUUGACGGUAAUUACUUAGAAAGUCACGGCUAACUACGUGCCAGCAGCCGCGGUAAUACGUAGGUGGCAAGCGUUGUCCGGAUUUAUUGGGCGUAAAGCGAGUGCAGGCGGUUCAAUAAGUCUGAUGUGAAAGCCUUCGGCUCAACCGGAGAAUUGCAUCAGAAACUGUUGAACUUGAGUGCAGAAGAGGAGAGUGGAACUCCAUGUGUAGCGGUGGAAUGCGUAGAUAUAUGGAAGAACACCAGUGGCGAAGGCGGCUCUCCGGUCUGCAACUGACGCUGAGGCUCGAAAGCAUGGGUAGCGAACAGGAUUAGAUACCCUGGUAGUCCAUGCCGUAAACGAUGAGUGCUAAGUGUUGGGAGGUUUCCGCCUCUCAGUGCUGCAGCUAACGCAUUAAGCACUCCGCCUGGGGAGUACGACCGCAACGUUGAAACUCAAAGGAAUUGACGGGGGCCCGCACAAGCGGUGGAGCAUGUGGUUUAAUUCGAAGCAACGCGAAGAACCUUACCAGGUCUUGACAUCCAGUGCAAACCUAAGAGAUUAUGAGUU